rnacentral:rRNA from 1 species
AGUCGAACGGCAGCACGGGGGCAACCCUGGUGGCGAGUGGCGAACGGGUGAGUAAUACAUCGGAACGUGUCCUGUAGUGGGGGAUAGCCCGGCGAAAGCCGGAUUAAUACCGCAUACGCUCUGCGGAGGAAAGCGGGGGAUCCUUCGGGACCUCGCGCUACAGGGGCGGCCGAUGGCAGAUUAGCUAGUUGGUGGGGUAAAGGCCUACCAAGGCGACGAUCUGUAGCUGGUCUGAGAGGACGACCAGCCACACUGGGACUGAGACACGGCCCAGACUCCUACGGGAGGCAGCAGUGGGGAAUUUUGGACAAUGGGCGAAAGCCUGAUCCAGCAAUGCCGCGUGUGUGAAGAAGGCCUUCGGGUUGUAAAGCACUUUUGUCCGGAAAGAAAACCUCCGCCCUAAUAUGGUGGGGGGAUGACGGUACCGGAAGAAUAAGCACCGGCUAACUACGUGCCAGCAGCCGCGGUAAUACGUAGGGUGCAAGCGUUAAUCGGAAUUACUGGGCGUAAAGCGUGCGCAGGCGGUCCGCUAAGACAGAUGUGAAAUCCCCGGGCUUAACCUGGGAACUGCAUUUGUGACUGGCGGGCUAGAGUAUGGCAGAGGGGGGUAGAAUUCCACGUGUAGCAGUGAAAUGCGUAGAGAUGUGGAGGAAUACCGAUGGCGAAGGCAGCCCCCUGGGCCAAUACUGACGCUCAUGCACGAAAGCGUGGGGAGCAAACAGGAUUAGAUACCCUGGUAGUCCACGCCCUAAACGAUGUCAACUAGUUGUCGGGUCUUCAUUGACUUGGUAACGUAGCUAACGCGUGAAGUUGACCGCCUGGGGAGUACGGUCGCAAGAUUAAAACUCAAAGGAAUUGACGGGGACCCGCACAAGCGGUGGAUGAUGUGGAUUAAUUCGAUGCAACGCGAAAAACCUUACCUACCCUUGACAUGUAUGGAACCUGGCUGAGAGGUCAGGGUGCCCGAAAGGGAGCCAUAACACAGGUGCUGCAUGGCUGUCGUCAGCUC